ACCCGCACAAGCGGUGGAUGAUGUGGAUUAAUUCGAUGCAACGCGAAGAACCUUACCUACCCUUGACAUGUCCGGAACUUGCCAGAGAUGGCUUGGUGCCCGAAAGGGAAUCGGAACACAGGUGCUGCAUGGCUGUCGUCAGCUCGUGUCGUGAGAUGUUGGGUUAAGUCCCGCAACGAGCGCAACCCUUAUCAUUAGUUGCUACGCAAGGGCACUCUAAUGAGACUGCCGGUGACAAACCGGAGGAAGGUGGGAUGACGUCAAGUCCUCAUGGCCCUUAUGGGUAGGGCUUCACACGUCAUACAAUGGUCGGUACAGAGGGUUGCCAAGCCGCGAGGCGGAGCCAAUCCCACAAAGCCGAUCGUAGUCCGGAUUGUUCUCUGCAACUCGAGAGCAUGAAGUCGGAAUCGCUAGUAAUCGCAGGUCAGCAUACUGCGGUGAAUACGUUCCCGAGUCUU
rnacentral:rRNA from 1 species